rnacentral:rRNA from 1 species
CCUACGGGGGGSSCWGCAGUAGGGAAUCUUCCGCAAUGGGCGAAAGCCUGACGGAGCAAUGCCGCGUGAGUGAUGAAGGUUUUCGGAUCGUAAAGCUCUGUUGCCAGGGAAGAACGCUUGGGAGAGUAACUGCUCUCAAGGUGACGGUACCUGAGAAGAAAGCCCCGGCUAACUACGUGCCAGCAGCCGCGGUAAUACGUAGGGGGCAAGCGUUGUCCGGAAUUAUUGGGCGUAAAGCGCGCGCAGGCGGUCAUUUAAGUCUGGUGUUUAAUCCCGGGGCUCAACCCCGGAUCGCACUGGAAACUGGGUGACUUGAGUGCAGAAGAGGAGAGUGGAAUUCCACGUGUAGCGGUGAAAUGCGUAGAUAUGUGGAGGAACACCAGUGGCGAAGGCGACUCUCUGGGCUGUAACUGACGCUGAGGCGCGAAAGCGUGGGGAGCAAACAGGAUUAGAUACCCCCWGGUAGUCAA